rnacentral:rRNA from 1 species
UAGGGAAUCUUCCGCAAUGGGCGAAAGCCUGACGGAGCAACGCCGCGUGAGUGAUGAAGGUCUUCGGAUCGUAAAACUCUGUUAUUAGGGAAGAACAAAUGUGUAAGUAACUAUGCACGUCUUGACGGUACCUAAUCAGAAAGCCACGGCUAACUACGUGCCAGCAGCCGCGGUAAUACGUAGGUGGCAAGCGUUAUCCGGAAUUAUUGGGCGUAAAGCGCGCGUAGGCGGUUUUUUAAGUCUGAUGUGAAAGCCCACGGCUCAACCGUGGGGGGUCAUUGGAAACUGGAAAACUUGAGUGCAGAAGAGGAAAGUGGAAUUCCAUGUGUAGCGGUGAAAUGCGCAGAGAUAUGGAGGAACACCAGUGGCGAAGGCGACUUUCUGGUCUGUAACUGUCGCUGAUGUGCGAAAGCGUGGGGAUCAAACAGG